rnacentral:tRNA from 1 species
UCCAGGUUAGGUCAGAUGGUGGAGCGCUCCACUAGAAAUGGAGAGGUCUCUGGUUCAAUACCAGAACCAGACG